UACGUAGGGGGCAAGCGUUGUCCGGAUUUAUUGGGCGUAAAGCGCUCGCAGGUGGUUCAUUGCGUCGUGCGUGAAAGACCCCGGCUCAACUGGGGAGGGUCGUGCGAAACGGGUGAACUAGAGGCCAGUAGGGGGAUGCGGAAUUCCGGGUGUAGUGGUGGAAUGCGUAGAGAUCCGGAGGAACACCAGUGGCGAAGGCGACACGCUGGGCCGUACCUGACACUGAUGCGCGACAGCAUGGGGAGCAAACAGG
rnacentral:rRNA from 1 species